AGUCCGUUCCAUCGUCAUUCUGCGCUAGGCUCAAGGGCAAAACCGGAAAGAGAAAAAAAAUCUGCAGAACGGACUUGGUUGGGCUCUCCCCUGUCCCCUCUCCCACCCGCCAGGCCCGCCGCCAUCGGCAACCUCACCGCCGGCGCGUCCUCAUUCCGCUGGAGCCCUUUUCCUCGUCAACGCUCUACCCCCCCCCCCCUCCUCUCCUCCCGGCCCUCUGCUUGGACGGCACCGGUGUGGGGCGGGGAUCGGUGCCUCCGUUUCCUCGUUAUGCUCCGGCCUUCAGAUUAAGCUCACUAGUAUAAUCACUAAAACAGUGAUGAAUAUUUAUUUUUUCCAUAUCGAGCACUAGUAUAAUCUGUGUUUGAAUCCCAUUGAGUCCUUCCGUUUUUGGUAAUUUUUGUUUUGGGUUAUGCUCCGGCCUUCAGAUUAAGCUCACUAGUAAUCACUUUUGGUAAUUUUUGUUUCAGGUUAUGCUCCGGCCUUCAGAUUAAGCUCACUAGUAUAAUCACUAAAACAGUGAUGAAUAUUUAUUUUUUCCA